GACGUAGGGCGCGAGCGUUGUCCGGAUUUAUUGGGCGUAAAGAGCUCGUAGGCGGCUUGUUACGUCGGCUGUGAAAUCCCGCGGCUCAACUGCGGGUCUGCAGCCGAUACGGGCAGGCUAGAGUUCGGUAGGGGAGACUGGAAUUCCUGGUGUAGCGGUGAAAUGCGUAGAUAUCGGAAGGAACAUCAGUGGCGAAAGCGGCUUCCUGGACCAGUACCGACGUUGAGGCACGAAAGCGUGGGGAGCAAACAGG
rnacentral:rRNA from 1 species